rnacentral:rRNA from 1 species
GAGAUGUUGGGUUAAGUCCCGCAACGAGCGCAACCCUCGUUCCAUGUUGCCAGCACGUCGUGGUGGGGACUCAUGGGAGACUGCCGGGGUCAACUCGGAGGAAGGUGAGGACGACGUCAAAUCAUCAUGCCCCUUAUGUCUUGGGCUUCACGCAUGCUACAAUGGCCGGUACAAUGGGUUGCGAUACUGUGAGGUGGAGCUAAUCCCAAAAAGCCGGUCUCAGUUCGGAUUGGGGUCUGCAACUCGACCCCAUGAAGUCGGAGUCGCUAGUAAUCGCAGAUCAGCAACGCUGCGGUGAAUACGUUCCCGGGCCUUGUACACACCGCCCGUCAAGUCACGAAAGUUGGUAACACCCGAAGCCGGUGGCCUAACCCUUGUGGGGGGAGCCGUCGAAGGUGGGACCAGCGAUUGGGACUAAGUCGUAACAAGGUAGCCGUACCGGAAGGUGCGGCUGGAUCACCUCCUUUCUAAGGAG